rnacentral:rRNA from 1 species
AGCAGCCGCGGUAAUUCCAGCUCCAAUAGCGUAUAUUAAAGUUGUUGCAGUUAAAAGCUCGUAGUUGAAUUUCGGGAUUAGUACGUUGGUCGUGCCUUAGGUACGUACUGGUGUUACUGGUUCCUACCUUCUGACGAACCAUCAUGUCAUUAAUUUGGUGUGGCGGGGAAUCAGGACUGUUACUUUGAAAAAUUAGAGUGUUUAAAGCAGGCUCGCGCUUGAAUACAUUAGCAUGGAAUAAUGAAAUAGGACGUUGACCCUAUUUUGUUGGUUUCUAGGAUUGACGUAAUGAUUAAUAGGGAUAGUUGGGGCAUUAGUAUUCAAUUGUCAGAGGUGAAAUUCUUGGAUUUAUUGAAGACUAACUACUGCGAAAGCAUUUGCCAAGGAUGUUUUCAUUAAUCAAGAACGAAAGUUAGGGAUCGAAGACGAUCAGAUACCGUCGUAGUCUUAACCAUAAACUAUGCCGACUAGGGAUCGGAUGAUGUUAAUUUUUAAUGACUCAUUCGGCGCCUUACGGGAA